UACGUAGGGUGCGAGCGUUAAUCGGAAUUACUGGGCGUAAAGGGUGCGCAGGCGGUCUCGUAAGCUGGGUGUGAAAGCCCCGGGCUUAACCUGGGAAUGGCAUUCAGGACUGCGAGGCUUUGAGUGCGGCAGAGGGAGGUGGAAUUCCACGUGUAGCAGUGAAAUGCGUAGAGAUGCGGAGGAACACCGAUGGCGAAGGCAGCCUCCUGGGCCAGCACUGACGCUCAUGCACGAAAGCGUGGGGAGCAAACAGG
rnacentral:rRNA from 1 species